rnacentral:rRNA from 1 species
GACGAACGCUGGCGGCGUGCUUAACACAUGCAAGUCGAACGAUGAACCCGGAGCUUGCUCCGGUGGAUUAGUGGCGAACGGGUGAGUAACACGUGAGUAACCUGCCCUUGACUCUGGGAUAACUGCGGGAAACUGUAGCUAAUACCGGAUACGACCCUCGGCGGCAUCGCCAGGGGGUGGAAAGAAUUUCGGUCAAGGAUGGACUCGCGGCCUAUCAGCUAGUUGGUGAGGUAACGGCUCACCAAGGCGACGACGGGUAGCCGGCCUGAGAGGGUGACCGGCCAAACGGGGACUGGGACACGGCCCAGACUCCUACGGGAGGCAGCAGUGGGGAAUAUUGCACAAUGGGCGCGAGCCUGAUGCAGCGACGCCGCGUGAGGGGUGACGGCCUUCGGGUUGUAAACCUCUUUUAGUAGGGAAGAAGCGAAAGUGACGGUACCUGCAGAAAAAGCACCGGCUAACUACGUGCCAGCCGCCGCGGUAA